UGCAGUCGAGUGCGCGGUUGUAGCAAUACAACUGGCGCACGGCGCACGGGUGCAUAACACGUGGGCAAUCUGCCCUUCGAUGGGGAAUAACUCCGGGAAACCGAAGCUAAUUCCGCAUAACAUUCCUUGGACUUCGGUCCGAGGACUCAAAGCCGUAAGGCGUCGAAGGAGGAGCCCGCGCCCGAUUAGCUAGUUGGCAGGGUAACGGCCUACCAAGGCUUUGAUCGGUAGCUGGUCUGAGAGGAUGGCCAGCCACACUGGAACUGAGACACGGUCCAGACUCCUACGGGAGGCAGCAGUGGGGAAUCUUGCGCAAUGGGCGAAAGCCUGACGCAGCGACGCCGCGUGGGGGAUGAAGCAUCUCGGUGUGUAAACCCCUUUCGACUGGGACGAAUGCCUCGCAAGAGGAGUGACGGUACCAGUAGAAGAAGCCCCGGCUAACUACGUGCCAGCAGCCGCGGUAAGACGUAGGGGGCCAGCGUUGUUCGGAAUUACUGGGUGUAAAGGGUUCGUAGGCGGUGCGGCAAGUCGGGAGUGAAAUUUCUGGGCUUAACCCAGAAGCUGCUUCCGAAACUGCCGUGCUGGAGUGUGGGAGAGGCGCGUGGAAUUGCAGGUGUAGCGGUGAAAUGCGUAGAUAUCUGCAGGAACACCCGUGGCGAAAGCGGCGCGCUGGACCACAACUGACGCUGAGGAACGAAAGCUAGGGGAGCAAACAGGAUUAGAUACCCUGGUAGUCCUAGCCCUAAACGAUCAGGAACUUGGGGUGCCACCCGUCGGGUGUCGUCCCGGAGCUACGCGUUAAGUCCUGCACCUGGGGAGUACGGUCGCAAGACUGAAACUCAAAGGAAUUGACGGGGGCCCGCACAAGCGGUGGAACAUGUGG
rnacentral:rRNA from 1 species